AAGUCGCUGGCGCUAAACCAACCAGACUCCAUUUAAAUAAUCACUGCUUUUAGCGUGCACAGAGCCAACAUAUGUUCACAUGUAAAUCAGUAAACUAUGUGUUUAUUUCAACCAACCCUAGAGUGGUGAUGGUUGGAAACUUAGAAAAGCACGACC